GAUACUUGUGAGCAUUAAGUAAAGUAAUGCUUGUAAAAUAACUCAGCACAGUGUCUGGCCACAGGAAAUAUUUACUAAAUCAUAGUUAUGAUUAUUCUAGGGGAGUACCUAAGAUACUGGUCUUGGGAGCCAGACACUGAGAGUUGAGCCCCACCUCCACUUCUUCCUAACUCUGUGAUGUCAGACUAGUUACCUAACCUAUUUGUGUUUGUUUUUUAAUCUGUCUCUAUGCUGAGAAUAAUAAUCACAUCUACCUCAUAGAAUUAUAAAGGUUAUUAUGACAAUUGAAUUAAGUAAAUGUAAAGCACCCCAAAUAGUGUCUAGCACAUAGUAAGUGCUCAUUAAGUGUUGGUUAUUAUUAUUAUCAUCUGAGGUUCUCAUGGAGAUAUUUAUACAAUCACAAGGUGAAUCUAGAUUAUAAACUCCUGAGGAUGGGAACCAUGUAUUUUCCUAUGGUAUUCCCUGACGCUUUUAGCCCAAUCUCUGGCUCCCUGUAAUUACUCAAUAAAUAAUAGAGUGAUGGUGGUGAUUGGGAGGGUUGUUAAUUAGCUGUAAUCUCGAGACAUAUGGGGGUAUCAUUCAUCUAGAAUCCCAAAAUAGACUGUAUAUUGACUAUGUACCUCGGGGCCUGACUAUGAGCCCUUUAUUAAUCACCCACUGACAGGAAACUGACAGAGACUAUGAGUUAUCGGUCAUUUCACUUGUUAUAUUCCUGGAACAAUCUGGCCAACCCCCCAGGGUAUUACCUAGUGAUCUACCACUGUGGGUAGCAGACCCUGAACACUCUGAGCUGGAGUUCAUCUUAAGAUUUAAUUGGAAUGGACCUUGGGCUUCUUGACUGAACCCAAAGGGGAACAGUUGAACAGUAACUUGGCAGACUACAUUCAUCUUCCUGUGACAGAUCCUUCAUUGGCAGAAGCCAUUGGUGACAUUAAGCAGAGUGUCCCAUAAAUUCAACCUUCCAUUUCUGCACAUCAGAUAUGUGCGUAGAUAACUUUCUGGGAAACACCUCAUCAGAUAUACUUCAUCUUCUCUUUCCCAAAACUCUUUGGAAUUAGGCCCCAUGUUGAAAGCAUUUUCAUGGACCAUAUUUCGGGUUGCCCCCCCCACCCCCGACAACAUACUGUCCGCCCCCAAUCCCUCCAUUUCAGCCACUCCUAAAGCUUAGAGAAAUGGUCCCUGAACAUUGGGAGCUCCCAAUGGGAAAACGCUUCAUCUCUUUAGCACAGCAGCAUAGCUCCUGAUCCAGGAGGUUAUUUAUAAUCCUCAGCACAGUGGAAAUACCUGAAACUCAGGACAGCAAUUGAUUUAGGUGAUUUGGGAGACGAGGCGAGGCAUGCAGCGGGCUCUGAGGUGACUGAUCAAGUGUCCUCUCUAGAACAUCUUGUGCCUUCUCACCUCCAAAUUACAAAUGCUAGUUCUGAGGUUAUGCAUAUGAAAGGAUAUUUACUUGAAGAACAGGAAUAUAUUCAUUGUUAUUUCAUUGUUAUUAAAAAGAAGCUUUAUUCUGACUUAAUAAUAGCAACAGAGGGGUAGGAGGAGAAAUAUUGUGCAGAUAACCUAUUGCUUUCCUUUUAUUUUAUUGACGUUUGCCAUUUCAUUAAGAAACACAAUUUUAACUGUAUUGAUAUUCUAGCCAAAGCUAUCUGAAUUUACAGGCAUUUUAGACUGUGUCUAGAGAUGAAUGUGUACUUGCUUUAACAAAAUACUGUGUAGAAAGGCAAUGUUUUCUAGCUGACACACUUCCUGAUGGAAUAAGUCACCGGUUGUUUAAGGAUCUGCCUGAGUGUGGGACCAGGGGUCAAUGGCUGCUAGUUAUGAUUCGUCACUCAUGGUAAUGUGGUGCUGCCAUAGAUACCAUUCAUUAAGAUAGCCCUUUUUUGAAAAUAGGCCUUAAUCAGGCAAUCACACAAAUAUAUAAACAGGACUGUUUGUUCCAUAGAAAGAAAUAAGUUGCAAUAGGAACACCAGAUCCUGUGUGGCUUUUAACCAGAGCUCUGAAAAGCAAGUUUGUUAAUGAGUGCUGAGCAAAUCAAAGAAGUGAGGAAGAAGAGACUUCCGGCAGGAAAGCGUGUCAGCAGGCCAUCAGACGGGAAGAAGCAAAGUGUGAUUUCAAGGAACUGGAAGAAUCCCUGUACACUGGUGUGUGGAAACCAAGGCAUUACAUGAACUGGAAGAGGCUGGAGAGUUUUAUUGAGGUACAAUUGAUUUACAACGGACAGCCAAUGUCUAAUGUGUACAAUUUGAGGAGUUUGAACGUACGCAAACACCUGUGAUACCAUCACCACAAUCAAGUUAUUGAGGAGUUACUGUGUGCUAAGCUGCUAAACUGUCUGCAGUCCACUGGAGAAACUAGGAUGAAAGAAAAGGAAAAGACACAACAUAUUCAUUUAAGGAAAAGAAGGAAAUGGGAGUUAUUCAUGUAUCUCAUGCUCAGGACCUGGCACAGUGUUCUCCUUUCUGCUGUGUAGGUGCUCAAUGGAUACUUGUUGACUAUAAAAUCAUUAUCAUGGAAAUAGAAAAUCAUUGUUGGUUCAGAAUUGUGGGAGCUUGCCUGGAGAAUGGAAAACAUUAGGGAAGAAUAAAAGGUCACCAGCUGUUCAAGUUUGGGAAGUGAGUGUCUGGUUCGUCUGCUUCAUUCCACUUUUCCUAGGACCUAGCAUAUUACUUAGCACAGGGAAGGUGCUCACAUUUGCUGAAAGGAUUGAAAUGCUGAUGAACUACAGCAGCAAGUAUACCCGAGACAGAGACUCUCUCAUGAAGUUUAGGGGCAGGGAAUGCAUGGCCUCUCCAAUCAAAGCAAUAGCACCUGGUAGGAAUUACUGCUGCUGAAGCUGAUAGAGGCCAAAGACUGUCCUCAGGAGGAAAAUGGAAUAGGCAGUGUUUCAUCCUGGAUGAGUGUGCAUCUUGGAUUAAGGCCUUCGAGUCCCCUACAAAUAUUGAGCAAUUCCAUCUUUUGUUCUUAGAAAGACAAAUCCUAAGUAGCACUAUUAUUAAUAAAUAGAACAAUGUUAAUUUGUGGUCUACU